GCCCUUCAGGCAUUUAAGUUUAAUAAGUUUAAAGUUUAUGCUUUUAAUUUGGUAUACUUUCAGUUUCAUGCAGACUCUUAUUUUGACGUUUGUUUACUGAGCAAAACCGGAAGUAAAAAAAAACCGCAUGAAAGAACGCAAUAGAAACGGUAGACUGGAUAAAAAAUGAAAACAGUCAUUUCUUCAGAGAAGAUUCAUCCUGCAUGUUGAUUCCCCAGCAGAAGCAUCGCUUGUAUGUAUAUAAUCUUUGUUCUGACUAAGUUAACUUAUAAGCAUUUGAUUUUGUGCUGUAGAAGUAAUGUUCAUGAAAGCUAAAUGGCUUAGCUAAUUACAGUAUUUUGCUGUUUGUUUUCUAGUUUCACUCUCUCGUUUUUCAUCAGUCAUCUCAUAUGUAUGGAUUCAGUUCAAUGUGAAGAAAAUAAAUCUACAUAAAAAGAACUCCGGAUUUCUUCAUGUUCAUGAAUAGAGAGAGUUUAUCUCACUGUUUAGUUGGAGUUGUUACACCUCAGCGAGAACAGUAUAGUGAAAAAGCGUAAUCCAGCUGAAGUUUCAACGUCUUGAGAAGCAAGAAAGAGUAAAAUGGAAUCAGAAACGACUGACAAUGCAUCUGCACGCACAAGAAGAACAAAGAGCUCUCACUCGUCAGCGUCGAGUGCAGCAGUAAGGGCGCGCGCUAAAGCAGAGGCGGCAAAAGCACGAGCAGCAUUUGCAGAGAAAGAAGCAGAGCUAAAGGUACAAAGGGCAGAGAAGGAAGCAGAGCUACAAUUAGGAAAAGCAAAGCUGGAAGCCGAACUAGGCGCACUUGAACUUCAAAGAGAAGCAGCGGCGGCUAUUGCCCAAGCUGAGGCAUUAGAAGCAGCCGAGCUAGAUAUAGAAGAUUCAAGUAAGACCGAUGUAUCUUCUCAAGCAAAUUUACAAAAUGAAAUUGUAACACGCACUAAUGAAUAUGUUGAAGCACAAGCUGAACAUAACGUUCCACAAACUCAACCAUCUGCACAUGCAACAUUACACGAGGCAACAUUGUCAGAAGAGAGCUAUGUCACAUGGAAUCCUCCAGUACAAGGCAAAUUACAGUUAGUGGAUGGGCAAGAAGAGGUAGAAACCCUUAACAGACCAUCUGAGUAUAACACAGCGCCGACAAAGCCAUUCUUCAGCAACCAUGCUAAAUUCAGGGAUGAAACCCAAAUCAGCACACCACUUAAUGGAGGUCAUACAGGUUUGGUAAGAUAUGAUGGACAUCAUACAACACCCAUUGGAGGCGGUGAACUUCACACAACACCUGCUAGAGACAACGGAUACCCAACAAAACCCAAGACAACAAAACAUCCUCACAAAUCACCACUUAAAGUAACAGCGCCAUCAUACGUGCCUGUGUAUGCACCACCCAUCUCAAGCGUAAUACCUGAAACGGAACACCUGGCACGAUACCUGGCUCGUCGUGAUUUAGUGAGUACAAGUCUCUACCGAUUCGAUGAUAAACCUGAGAAUUAUUUAGCAUGGCAGUCAUCAUUUAACAAUGCUACUACAGGCUUAGGACUCACCUCCCCCGAAAUGUUAGAUUUGCUGAUUAAAUGGCUCGGACCAGAGUCUGUGAAACACAUCAAAAGGAUUCGCUCUGUGCAUAUCGGGAACCCAGAUGCAGCACUUAAAAAGGCCUGGAGUCGCCUCCAAGAAUGCUACGCUGCGCCUGAAGUAAUGGAGAAGUCUCUUUUUAAGAGAUUGGAUGAAUUCCCAAGAAUAUCAACUAAAGAUUAUGGGAAGCUGAGAGACUUAGGCGAUCUUCUUAUGGAAAUCCAGGGUGCCAGAGAAGAAGGUUACCUCACAGGAUUGGCCUACCUGGAUACUGCCAGAGGCAUUGGGCCCAUCGUGGAGAAACUUCCUCACGGACUACAGGAGAAAUGGCUCUCAGUUGGCUCAAAAUUUAAGGAAGAUAAUAACGGCUACUUCCCUCCAUUCGAUUACUUUGCCGAUUUCAUCUGCGACGAAGCACGGCGGAGGAAUGAUCCAAGUUUCAUCCUUUUAUAUGCCAGCAAUAACGGACUGAAGUCAGACAGGGUAGUUUCAAAUAAUUAUGGAAGAAAUAUAUCAGUUCACAAGACGGACAUCUCUUCGGGUAAAGAUCCACCUGCGAACUCACCUGAGAGAAGGCUCGGUGGGCCAGAGAAAAACUGUCCCAUUCACAACAAACCACAUUCGCUAAGGAAAUGCAGAGUAUUUAGAGGUAAGCCUCUUGAAGAAAGAAAGAGCAUUCUCAAGGAGAAUGGAAUUUGUUUCAAGUGCUGCAUAUCAGCUAGUCAUCUUGCAAGAGACUGUAAAGCAGCAGUAAAGUGCCUGGAGUGCAACAGCGAACGACAUCAUACUGCUAUGCAUCCAGGUCCACCACCUCAAGUCUACAGAAGGCCUACACCCCCACUAGACAACGGCGGGGAGGUAGAGGAACAUGCUAGCGACAGCAAAGCCAUCUCCUCACACUGCACCCAAGUAUGUGGUCCAGAUCAUACCGCAAGAUCCUGCUCGAAGAUCUGUCUGGUACGAAUAUACCCCCAAGGUCAACGUGAAAAGGCAACCAACAUGUACGUUAUUUUGGAUGAUCAAAGUAACCGUUCACUGGUGCGUUCAGAGUUUUUCGAGCUUUUCAACAUCAAGGGCCAAUCAUUUCCCUAUGCACUGAAGACCUGUGCCGGAUUGGUUCAGACGUCCGGCAGAAAGGCAGAGGGUUUCCAGGUCGAAUCGCUCGAUGGGCAGACUAGCUUAUUGCUACCGCCGCUAAUUGAGUGUAAUUACAUUCUCAUUGAUCGCUCUGAAAUACCAACACCCGAUGCAGCCCGUCAUCAUCCACACCUACGAAGUGUAGCGGCACACAUUCCAGAACUCGACCCCAAAGCGGAAAUCCUCCUCUUGCUAGGCAGAGACAUUGUGAGAGUCCAUAAAGUCCGACAGCAAGUGAGCGGACCUCACAACGCCCCCUUUGCACAAAAACUGGAUUUGGGAUGGGUCUUGAUAGGAGACGUGUGCCUAGGAAAUGCACACAAACCAGAUGUGAGAGCAUUCAAGACAAGUGUGCUAGAGAAUGGCCGACCCUCCAUUCUCAGACCAUGUAAAGGCUUCAUGAAGCUGACCGAAGAUGUGUCCAAUGGCAAGGAGCAGAAGAACAAACCAAACAAGGCAUCGUUGGAAGCCCUUGGACUGCAUGUCUUCAGGGAAACUGAGUCUGACAACAAACCCGCCCAGUCCAUGGAGGAUACAAUCUUUUUGAAAAUCAUGGACCAAGAAAUGCAUAGAGAUGAGUCAAACAACUGGGUCGCUCCUCUCCCCUUUAGAGUUCCCCGUCAAUGCUUGUCCAACAACCGCAAACAGGUGUUUACUCGCUUCGCCUCCUUGGAGAAAACGUUGCGAAGAAAAACUGAGAUGAGAGACCAGUUUCAAGAAUUCAUGAAGAAAAUAAUUGACAACAGACAUGCAGAAGUGGCUCCUCCACUGGAGAAGAAUGAUGAGUGUUGGUAUCUGCCUACUUUCGGAGUCUACCACCCUCAAAAGCCUGGAAACAUCCGCGUGGUGUUUGACUCCAGCGCAAAGUAUUUUGGCACAUCUCUAAAUGAUGUUCUUCUGUCAGGCCCAGACCUCAAUAACUCACUCAUUGGGGUGCUGAUCCGCUUCCGCAAGGAACAGGUUGCAGUGAUUGCUGACAUACAGCAGAUGUUCCACUGUUUUCUUGUCCGCAGAGACCACAGGGACUACCUGAGGUUUUUGUGGUACAGAGACAAUGAUAUGUCUAAGGACAUUAUCGAUUACAGGAUGAGGGUUCAUGUUUUCGGUAACAGUCCGUCACCAUCUGUAGCCAUCUACGGACUAAGGAGAGCCAUCCAUGAAGGUGCACAUAAGUAUGGAGAAGACACGGUCCAGUUUGUUGAACAUCAUUUUUACGUAGAUGAUGGUCUCAUCAGUGUGCCUACUGAAGCUGAAGCCAUCAGUCUGCUACAGAGAACGCAGCACUCUCUCAGUGAAUCGAACCUUAGGCUUCACAAGUUUGCCUCAAACAGAGAAGCUGUGCUUCAGGCCUUUGCACCAGAGGACAGGGCUGUUCUGAAAGACCUUGACCUAAGCGGUGAAGUAACACCAGCCCAACGCAGUUUGGGACUGUUGUGGGAGACAACGACAGACACCUUCACAUUCAAAGUCUCAAAAAACAAGAAACCCUUUACUCGCAGGGGAGUUCUGUCAACAGUGAAUAGUGUCUUCGAUCCGUUAGGCAUGGUCGCACCGGUGACUAUUGAGGGCAAAAGUCUUUUGAGGGAAUUCAGUGUCAACACAAGUGAUUGGGAUGCUCCUCUUCCAGAACAAAAGCUGAAGCAAUGGGAGGCAUGGUGUGAGUCACUCCAUGACUUAAGUAAGCUGCAUAUCCCACGUUCAUACACCGCAACGUCACUUUCCAAUGCUGUACACACAGAGCUAUGUGUGUUUUCUGACGCGUCCACAAAAGCCAUUGGAGUUGUGGCAUAUCUCAGGACCAUUCAAGCUGAGGGACAAGUCGAAGUAGGAUUCAUUCUAGGGAAGGCUAAGCUGGCACCACAGUCUGAACCUACCAUUCCUCGGUUGGAAUUGUGCGCCGCAGUAUUAGCCGUAGAAGUUGCCGAACUCAUCCAAGUUGAACUGGGCCUGAAGCUGGAUGAAAUCAAGUUCUAUUGUGACAGCAAGGUCGUGCUUGGAUACAUUUGCAAUCAAACAAAACGCUUCUACGUCUACGUUCACAAUCGAGUCAGACGUAUUCGUCAAUCAACAAGACCUAACCAAUGGUUCUACGUCAACACAGAGGACAACCCGGCUGACCACGCAUCCAGGUCAGUUCCUGCGUCCCAACUGAUAAAGACUAUGUGGUUCACUGGACCAGCUUUUUUACACAAGCCAAAUCCAUCUGACACACAUGCAAUCAGGAUGUUUGAACUUGUUAACCCAGAAUCAGACAUGGAAAUACGACCUGAAGUGAGUAGUUUUCUUACUCAGACUCAAAACCGAGGCCUUACCGCUGCACGGUUUCAGUGCUUUUCCUGUAUGCGCUCCCUCAUCAGGGCUAUUGCCCUACUCAUCCACAUAGCCAGCGCUUACAGACACAACAAGUCCAGUAAAUGUAAAGGGUGGCAUCACUGCAACUUCCCACGUACUCCGGAUGAGUUGUCUCAGGCGAGACACAUUAUCAUCAGGGCAGCACAGGAAGAUGUUUAUGCAAAAGAACUCGCAGUUCUUGAGCAUGGACAAGCUGUAACCAAGGACAGUUCUCUUCACAAGCUCAGACCUGUUCUUGAAGGUAAUCUGAUUUGUGUUGGUGGCAGAUUAAAGCACGCUGACUUGAGCACUCAGGAAAAAAACCCCAUCAUCUUGCCCAAGACCAGCCACAUUUCUCUGCUGUUGGUGCGACAGUAUCAUGAAGAGGUAAAGCAUCAAGGCCGCCACUUCACAGAAGGGGCCCUGAGAGCAGCGGGCUUCUGGAUCAUAGGUGGAAAACGACUUAUUGCCUCUGUCUUGCACAAAUGUGUAGUGUGUCGAAAGUUACGUCGAAGAACAGAGGAACAACUUAUGGCAGACUUGCCUCCAGAACGCUUGCACACAUGUCCACCCUUCACCUAUGUAGGAGUGGAUGUGUUCGGACCAUGGCAAAUCGUCUCCAGGCGAACAAGAGGUGGACAGGCCCAAAGCAAAAGAUGGGCGAUGCUCUUCUGCUGUAUGAGCUCCCGAGCCGUGCACAUCGAGAUCAUCGACUCCCUAGACACGUCAAGUUGCAUCAAUGCAUUGAGACGGUUCUUUGCCAUACGAGGACCUGCAAAGCAGAUUAGAUCGGACUGCGGAACAAACUUUGUGGCCGCUGCAAAGGAACUGGGAUUAAGCCAACAACAACCUGACUUCAAAGUGCAGAACUUCUUGAGUCAACAAGGGUGCUCAUGGAUAUUUAAUCCUCCUCAUGCGUCCCAUAUGGGUGGAUCAUGGGAACGUAUGAUAGGCCUAUCAAGAAGGAUCCUGGAUGCAAUCCUGAUUCAAGAGAACAUUCAACUUACCCACGAUGUCCUGUGCACACUCAUGAUGGAAGUAACUGCGAUAAUCAAUGGCAGGCCUCUUGUUCCAGUCUCCACCGACCCAGAGUCACCGUUCAUAUUGUCUCCUUCAAUGAUACUUACCCAGAAGGUUGGGGUUGCCCCACCGCACAGAGAUUUCACAGACAAGGAUCUUCUCAGCAGACAAUGGAAACAAGUCCAAGCUCUCGCUGACAGAUUCUGGCGUCGCUGGCGUCAGGAGUUCCUCCCCACCCUGCAAGUCCGCCAGAAAUGGAGAGAUUCUCAACGGGACCUAAAAGAAGGGGACAUUGUGCUCCUGAAGGACAGUCAAGCUGCACGUAACACAUGGCCUAUGGCAAGGAUCACAGCUGUCUUCCCUGGGAGAGACAGUAAAAUAAGGAAGGUGGAGCUCAGGACAUCAAAUCAAGGUUCUGAGAGAGUGUUCUUGAGACCAGUGUCAGAAGUAGUUCUUCUUCUGCCCAAUGACUGAAUGUUCAUUUGGUAAUUAAUAGUGACCUUUUAGGUCAGACGGGGAGUGUUCUGCCCUUCAGGCAUUUAAGUUUAAUAAGUUUAAAGUUUAUGCUUUUAAUUUGGUAUACUUUCAGUUUCAUGCAGACUCUUAUUUUGACGUUUGUUUACUGAGCAAAACCGGAAGUAAAAAAAAACCGCAUGAAAGAACGCAAUAGAAACGGUAGACUGGAUAAAAAAUGAAAACAGUCAUUUCUUCAGAGAAGAUUCAUCCUGCAUGUUGAUUCCCCAGCAGAAGCAUCGCUUUUUCACUCUCUCGUUUUUCAUCAGUCAUCUCAUAUGUAUGGAUUCAGUUCAAUGUGAAGAAAAUAAAUCUACAUAAAAAGAA